rnacentral:lncRNA from 11 species
UGGAAAACUAAGCAUAGGAGGUUUAUCUAUCUGUGGAAGAUCAAGAGUGGGAGAAAAAACUCUUGUCUGUUGGAGGCCAGUGUGGAUGUUGUAAUCAAUCACCUUGAUCAGCAUUAAUGGCCUUGCCAGCUUCAUGGCCUGGUUUUCUAACGAUGCUUGAAAUAUAAGCCCUAUUUCUAAAAUAAGCCCUAAAUAUACUGUAUAUACUCAAGUAUAAGCCUAGUUUUUCAGCCCCCUUUUUUAGGACAAAAAAAGCCCCCCUCAGCUUAUACUUGGGUGAGAAUCCUGGUUGGCUUAUAUUUGGGUCAGCUUAUACUCAAGAAUAUAUGGUACAUUUAUUAUUUUUCUCUAUUAUUAUUGGUAUUACAUUUACAGUAGAGUCUCACUUAUCCAGGCCUCGCUUAUCCAAAGUUCUGGAUUAUCCAACACAUUUUUGUAGUCAACGUUUUCAAUAAAUCAUGAUAUUUUGGUGCUAAAUUCGUAAAUAUAGUAAUUACUACAUAGCAUUAUUUCGUAUUGAACUACUUUUUCUGUCAAAUUUGUUGUAUAACAUGAUGUUUGGGUGCUUAAUUUGUAAAAUCAUAACCUAAUUUGGUGUUUAAUAGGCUUUUCCUUAAUCUCUCCUUAUUAUCCAGCAUAUUCGCUUAUCCAACAUUCUGCCGGC